GAAGGUAUAGCUCAGUGGUAGAGUGUGUGCUUAGCAUACACAGGGUCCUUGGGUUCAAUCCCCAGCACCUCCA
rnacentral:tRNA from 1 species